rnacentral:rRNA from 1 species
GGGCACGACACCGGAGAGGGAGCCUGAGAAACGGCUACCACAUNNAAGGAUGGCAGCAGGCGCGCAAAUUACCCAAUCCCGACACGGGGAGGUAGUGACAAUAAAUAACAAUACGGGGUUCUUUAGGAUCUCGUAAUUGGAAUGAGUACAAUUUAAAUCUCUUAACGAGGAACAAUUGGAGGGCAAGUCUGGUGCCAGCAGCCGCGGUAAUUCCAGCUCCAAUAGCGUAUAUUAAAGUUGUUGCAGUUAAAAAGCUCGUAGUUGAAUUUCGGGGUUAGUAGGUUGGUCAUGCCUCUGGUAUGUACUGGUCUCACUGAUUCCUCCUUCCUUAUGAACCGUAAUGCCAUUAAUUUGGUGUUGCGGGGAAUUUGGACUGUUACUUUGAAAAAAUUAGAGUGUUUAAAGCAAGCUAACGCUUGAAUACAUUAGCAUGGAAUAAUGAAAUAGGACGUUCGAUCUUAUUUUGUUGGUUUCUAGGAUUGACGUAAUGAUUAAUAGGGAUAGUUGGGGGCAUUAGUAUUCAAUUGUCAGAGGUGAAAUUCUUGGAUUUAUUGAAGACUAACUACUGCGAAAGCAUUUGCCAAGGAUGUUUUCAUUAAUCAAGAACGAAAGUUAGGGGAUCGAAGACGAUCAGAUACCGUCGUAGUCUUAACCAUAAACUAUGCCGACUAGGGAUCGGAUGAUGUUAAUUUUUUAAUGACUCAUUCGGCGCCUUACGGGAAACCAAAG